UACAGAGGGUGCGAGCGUUGUUCGGAAUUACUGGGCGUAAAGCGCGCGCAGGCGGCUCUUUAAGUCCGCUGGUCAAAGACCGGGGCUCAACCCCGUGUCAGCCAGGGAUACUGGAGGGCUGGAGACAGGUAGAGGCAAGCGGAAUUCCGGGUGUAGUGGUGAAAUGCGUAGAGAUCCGGAGGAACACCAGUGGCGAAGGCGACACGCUGGGCCGUACCUGACACUGAUACGCGACAGCAUGGGGAGCGAACGGG
rnacentral:rRNA from 1 species